AAUGAACGCUGGCGGCGUGUCUUAAGCGUGCAAGUCGUGCGGCAAGGGUAGCAAUACCCCUAGAGCGGCGGACUGGUGAGUAACGCGUGGGUGAUCUGCCCUUGGGUUGGGGAUAGCCAUUGGAAAUAGUGGGUAAUACCGAAUACGAUGGCGAGAGUGUGGUCUUGUCAUGAAAGGCGCUCCGGCGCCACCCGAGGAUGAGCCCGCGUCCCCUUAGCUAGUUGGUGAGGUAACGGGCCACCAAGGCCAUGAUGGGUAGGCGGGCUGAGAGGGUGUACGCCCACACUGGGACUGAGAUACGGCCCAGACUCCUACGGGAGGCAGCAGCUAAGAAUAUGCCGCAAUGGACGAAAGUCUGACGGAGCGACGCCGCGUGGAUGACGAAGGCCGAAAGGUUGUAAAAUCCUUUUGUUGGGGAAGAAUAAGGCUGGGAGGGAAUGCCCGGCUGAUGACAUGAACCGACGAAUAAGUCCCGGCUCACUACGUGCCAGCCGCCGCAGUAA
rnacentral:rRNA from 1 species